rnacentral:rRNA from 1 species
AGUGAACGCUGGCGGUGGGCCUAACACAUGCAAGUCGAACGGCAGCACAGUACUAGCUUGCUCUUACGGGUGGCGGAUCGCGGACGUGUGAGGAAAGUAUCGGAAUCUACUUUUUCGUGGGGGAUAACGUAGGGAAACUUACGCCAAUAUCGCAUACGACCUACCGGUGAAAGCAGUGGAUCUUCUGACCUUGCGCGAUUGAAUGAGCCGCUGUUGGGUUAGAUAGUUGGCGGGGUAAAGGCCCACCAAGGCGACGAUCCGUAGCUGGUGGGAGUGGAUGGUAGGCCACACUGGAACUGGACCACGGACCAGACUCCUACGGGAGGCAGCAGAGGGGAAUAGUGGACAAUGGGCGCAAGCAUGAUACAGUGAUCCCACGCGGGUGGAGAAGGCCUUCGGGUUGUAAAGCCCUUUUGUUGGGAAAAAAAAGCAUCAGGUUAAUACCCCGCGGUUGUGACGGUACCCAAAGAAUAAGCACCGGCUAACUUCGUG